AUUGAACGCUGGCGGCAGGCCUAACACAUGCAAGUCGAGCGGAUGAAGGGAGCUUGCUCCUGGAUCCAGCGGCGGACGGGUGAGUAAUGCCUAGGAAUCUGCCUGGCAGUGGGGGAUAACGUCUGGAAACGGGCGCUAAUACUGCAUACGUCCUGCGGCAGAUAGUGGGGGAUCGUCGGACCUCACGCUAGCAGAUGAGCCUAGGUCGGAUUAGCUAGUUGGUGGGGUAAAGGCCUACCAAGGCGGCGAUCCGCAACUGGUCUGAUUGGAUGAUCAGUCACACUGGAGCUGGGCCGCGGUCCUUGCUCCUACGGGACGCAGCAGUGGGGUAUGUUGGGCAGUAGGCGAAAACAUGAUACAGCGGUGCCAAGUGUGUGGCAAAGGUGCUCGGAGUGUGAAGAAGUUCAUGUUGGGGGAAAGCGCAGUAGGUUGAUACCUUGCUGUUUUGACGUUACCAGCAGAAUAAGCACCGGCUAACUACGUG
rnacentral:rRNA from 1 species